rnacentral:lncRNA from 1 species
UGUUUCACAAUAUCUUUGGCUUGACCUUAUCCCAUUAACCGUAAUGUGCAGGUUCACAAGGAUUUAAGCCGGAUUAAACGGUUCAAUGCUCACUAAAGAUUUGAAAAGGUCCUUGGUUGAUGUUCCAUUAUUCCCCAGUCUUGACUAAGUCAAAUGUUGCAGUUAAUAAUGAUUUACUCUAGAGAUGGAAAAUGAAAUAAAGGUUAGGAGAUCAUUGCUAAUAAUAAUGCACCAGGGAUGAGGUUGAGUACAUGAGAAAAAUGCGUGUUAUUGUUAGGAAAGCUUAAGACUGUUUAGACAAGAUGUAGACUGUAACCAAAACUUUAAAAGUGGGGCUUGGCUUUGACAUGUGGCAGAGGUGGGCUCCACAUGGCUGGGCGUGGCUUUUUUUGGGUGUGAGGUGGCGU